rnacentral:rRNA from 1 species
GUGAGUAACACGUAGGUAAUCUGCCGUGAAGUGGGGGAUAACCCAUGGAAACAUGGACUAAUACCGCAUAUACUCUUGCUACAUAAGUAGAGUAGAGGAAAGUUUUUUCGCUUCACGAUGAGCCUGCGGCCUAUUAGCCUGUUGGUAGGGUAAUGGCCUACCAAAGCUACGAUAGGUAGCCGACCUGAGAGGGUGACCGGCCACAUUGGGACUGAGAUACGGCCCAGACUCCUACGGGAGGCAGCAGCUGAGAAUCUUCCACAAUGGACGAAAGUCUGAUGGAGCGACAUCGCGUGAGGGAUGAAGGCCUUCGGGUUGUAAACCUCGGAAAUUAUCGAAGAAUGAGUGACAGUAGAUAAUGUAAGCCUCGGCUAACUACGUGCCAGCAGCCGCGGUAAUACGUAGGAGGCAAACGUUGCUCGGAUUUACUGGGCGUAAAGGGUGAGUAGGCGGAUUUAUAAGUCUAAGGUGAAAGACCGAAGCUCAACUUCGGGAACGCCUCGGAUACUGUAAGU